UACAGGGGGGGCAAGCGUUGUUCGGAAUUACUGGGCGUAAAGGGCGCGUAGGCGGCCGAUCAAGUCAGAUGUGAAAGUCCUGGGCUUAACCUGGGGACUGCAUUUGAUACUGAUUGGCUUGAAUGCAGGAGAGGAUAGCGGAAUUCCCAGUGUAGAGGUGAAAUUCGUAGAUAUUGGGAAGAACACCGGUGGCGAAGGCGGCGAGCUGGCCUGUACCUGACGCUGAGGCGCGACAGCGUGGGGAGCAAACAGG
rnacentral:rRNA from 1 species